rnacentral:rRNA from 1 species
AGACGAACCGCCCAAACGUUAUUCGGAAUCACUGGGCUUAAAGGGUAUGUAGGCGGCAUGGUCAGUUGGGUGUGAAAUCCCUCGGCUUAACCGAGGAAUUGCGCCAAUACUGCCAAGCUUGAGGGAGACAGGGGUAAGCGGAACUGAUGGUGGAGCGGUGAAAUGCGUUGAUAUCAUCAGGAACACCGGUGGCGAAGGCGGCUUACUGGGUCUCUUCUGACGCUGAGAUACGAAAGCUAGGGUAGCGAACGGGAUUAGAUACCCCGGUAGUCC